AUUGAUACAUCUUACUGAUUGCUUUCAUCAUGUGCAAAUUUUGACAUUGUUUUUUUCUCUUUCUGGGUUGUCUUCUAACAGGAAAUGUCUUUUGGAUGGAAACUUUUUGUAAAUAUACAUCUCUGCCUGCUUCACUUUAAGGAAUGUUUCAUACAGUUUAAAUUUGCAGUUUUCCAUGGCAAUGGCAUUAAUAUUUUUGGUAUUUCAUGAUGUUUUCUAAGCAUUAUCUUUGAUCAGGUUAUCUUUGUGAAUGAUUCACGCUAAUACCAUGUCUAUGUUCUUCAUAUGUUGUUGAAAUUGACGCAGCAAGCAAUUAUCCAUUUACUCCUUUAGCUAAACAGAUUGCUAGUUCAUGUGGUUUUGCCUUUUACUUUUUUACUUUAUAAUUCAAUUGUAUUCAUUUAGGUUUCUUUUCUUGAAAAGGAAUUAUGGAAAUUGUAACAGUUAAGUUCCUACAUGUUCAAAAAUUCCAGAAAACCAUUUUUUGUGGACUGCUACCUUUUAUUUGUCAAUAUCCAUAUAGUUUGAGCCUGACGCUCGAUGGUUUCUAAUGAGCCUGACCUAGAUUCUUUUCACAAGUGCUUUUUUUUUUUUCAAAGCUUGAGGUGAUACAAUUAUCUUGCUGGUGGCUUUAUUUGUUGUGACUUAAACCAAAGUAAGAACUUGCGGAAAUUGACUCUGUUUUUCUGGAGAAUGAACUGAGUCACACCUGAAAUAUUUGUCAUUUGGGUGAAGUAUAAUGAUUUCAGCCCUGGGUUGAAACUGAGUUUUGGAUUGUUCACAAUAUAACAAUAAGUAGUUGUUCACUAUUGCUGUUAACUCUUAUCUUCAAGCAUUGAUAAUGAUGCUCUCAACUUUAAGCAUGAACUAUUUUUACUAAUGAUGCUGAUGUCCCGCAGCUCAUGUCUUGCAAAGGGAGCAUGAAUUACUACGUGUCUAUAUGCUUACCUUUUUUUUUAAUAGGCAAUAUCUAUAUGGUUAUCUUAAGCAUUGAGGUUUGUAUGCUAAACUAAAUGUGCAGCCACUUGAUGGCUGGGAGUGAGCCACUUUCUCAAACUCUCAAGGGAACAGUAGAUGAUCAAAAUAUUUCUUUUCUUGAUGCUGUAAGAUCUGCUGGCUACACCAAAAAUCGAGUGGAUCUAUCUAGCAUGUUUGUAAAGAAGGGGACUUAUUUUACUUUUCUAAAGUUAUGCAUAGAGCAGGGUCCCAUACUGGAAAAGAAGGUAUGUUUCAUCUCAGACUAAAAGCCCUUUGCUUUCCCCAUUUAAAAAAUUUGUUAAUGCGAAAUAUCGGCAUCUAGGUGUUUCUAUUGGUUUCGUAACUGCUAUUGCUGUGCCCGCAAGUAUUAAGGUGGAUUUUGAAGGCAAUGGAGGACAUGCAGGGGGAGUCCUCCAUUUUCCCUUGUUUGAUCAGUGCAAAAGACAAUAAGUCACAUGCCUGUGAGAUGAAUUUUACAAAGGAAACCAAUCAAUAGCUAUAGAAAUCUUAAAAGGGCUGAUUUUCACCAUCAAAGUAUGUCUUAAAGACUAGCAAUCACUUGUAUCGCUGUUUACACUAUCUGAGUUUGAGCCUUUGACCCUUCUUGUGAACUGUGGCAAUGGGCAUUUGUUUUACUAUUUGGGAUCCAUGAUUUGGGUUCUUAAGUCGGAGUGCAUUUGGUUGCACCAAAUAUCAAGAAAUUUCAUGAUAUUUCAGUAUUAGUCAAUUUAAUUUGAUGCAAAUUUUCAUGCCAUUUCAUGAAAUUUGGUGCAACCAAACACACUUAAACAUAUUGUUUACCCAUGUCCUUAGAGAGGCAUAUGUUAUUGACGAAACCGUAGCCAAGGAAAGUGUUUAAAUGGAUCCACUUUGAAUUGGGAAUUCUUUCUACUAUCUUGCUGAAUUCGAUGAAUUUAUGAAUGACAAGCUAUUUGUUCUGUUCUUCUUCUUUUUGUCUGAAUUUAAAUGGCUUUUGGACACCCUAUGAUUGCAUAGGAGCAUCUCGAAAGGAUAACACAGUAUAAUCUGAAGUUUCUGAUAUUUUUUUAUUUUUUUAUUUUUCUGUUUUUUUUAAAAGCAAUGUCGAACAAGGCUACUGUGUUGAAAUGCAUUGAAGCAAUUGAAAAUGCUGCUUAGUUCUCCUAUUUAAUCACCGUCAACUGAAGAUUGAAUUCACCUCAUCCAUUUGUCUUGUUUGUUUGUGGGAUACAUAGUUUUGCUAAUUCCGUGGACUUACAAUUUUAUUUUCUUGCAGCCUGACAGCAUUUGGGUUAUGGAUGAUAAAGCUACUGCUAGAGAAACAAUGAAAAAAGUUGGUGUACCAACUGUACCUGGAAGCGAUGGAUUUUACGGGUAACAAGCCAUAUGCUUUCUGGACAUUGGUUAAUCGUAGGAGCAUAUUUACUAUUACCCUUAAAUUUGGUAUUGAUUACUGAAUCUUUUCUUUGUUGAAAUUUCAGUCCAUGGAGGAGGCUAUCAAGCUUGCUCAUGAGAUUGGUUUCCCUGUGAUGAAGACGGUUCACCACAAUACUUACCACAAAGAUCCUUAUGCAAAGGAGUUUGGCAUCAAAAUCAGUGAGAAACUUGCUUCGGUUGAAGCACGCAUUUUACCUACACUUGGCUUAAAUUCCAUGACACUGGUAGAGAAAAGGAUUGCUUGCCCCAAGUGGGUCAAUGGAAUAUGAUGAAUAAGGCCUUGCACGUAACAGGGGGUGUCCAUCUGAAGCCCUAGUAUUUAGAGGGAUUGUUUCAAUAUCUUUCGGCAAAACCUGAUGCAAGGAAGUUGAUCGAUGCUACUAUUGCCUUGCUUAUAGCGUCCACAUCGAAUCUUCUGAUUUUUGCAGGAAGAUCCUUCAGCUGGAGAACAUUGUGGAAUUUCUCGGAAAGAAAACAGGCUCAAAAGAAGAUUAGCGAUGGUACAUAUGUUGGUGGGUUUUGUUCUGAUUCGUUAAAGCUACAUGAUCAGCCAGCCUUAAUUAUUAGCUUUGAUCUUGAUGAACAACACAAUUUUUGGUAGUGGAUCGAUUGAAAUACAGCAUAACCCAUGAAUUUUCCACGGCCCAUUAAUGUUUUCCUUAGGAACUGUUGUGCAUAUCUGAUUGUAGCUAUACAUGCACCCUGAUUUCAAUGGAUUCUACCACACCUUUGGGGGAGGAAGAAAUCGUGGUGCUAACGGGAAACCCAUACUUUUCGUGCAUUAUUUCACAGUCGCAUAUCAAAUCGCCAUGUUAGAUGGCAUUUAAGGAGACUAUGAACAGGCUGGAUUCAGACCCCAGGAAGAGAUGGAAUGUAAGUGACAGUAUGACAAGGACAUUUGGCAUGAAGCCGGUAUACAUGCUUUUGGCAGUUACACCAUUUACGGUAAGCUCUCGUUGGUUGCUGAGUGUUGUUCUGUUUUUGUUAUUUUGUUUGGUUUGGUUAUUUGAAGUUGGAUUGAAUUUGGCAAGUUUGGAUGCCUGCAAAGUCCUUAAGUUGUAAAGGGAUUACAGGGACUGUUUGGAUGCAUGUAUUUGCCUGUAAAGGCUUUACAGGCUUUGAAAGAUACUGAAUUUUAUUAAAGCCUGAAGGGCAGACUGGGCAACCCAGAAACAACUAUCUAGAUGUCCAAUCUCUCACAAGAUACAUCACCCUAGAACCAGUCCCAUAAGAAGAGCUGCUUCUAUUCCUGAAAAUGCAGUCGUUUCUUUCCACCCGAAUGGCCCAAAUGAUAGCCAAAAGAGAGAGGUCCCAUUUAGAGUUCUUGUUACUGGGAACAACUUGUAAAACGUUAAGAGAUCAUUUAGAGACUUCCCAAUUUGGAAUUUACUUGAACUGCAAAUGGAAUGACUUGUAUGAUUCUCUUCUUUUUCU